GGGGCGACCCCGACGCCGAGGCUGCUCGCGUGGAAUCAGCACCGAAUGGCUGGGUUCCCUGUGUGAUUGCAUCUUCCCCGGCUCGACUCUCAGGGAAGACUAAGGGGAAAGAGAGUCAGGUGAAAGUGGAGCGGGAAGGUGACUACAGAGCAGACGCGGGACAGCGGGAAGGUGACCGCGGG
rnacentral:lncRNA from 1 species